CCCGAUUGCUUCGGUUGACACGCUCUCACCUGGUACGGCGUCUCAACACCAUGGAGGACUACAGCAUCUUCACCGGCAAAACGAAAACGUUUUCUGUCGUUGACUAUGUCCUAUUCGGCCUGACAUUAUUCAUAUCUGCAAGUAUUGGACUUGUGUACGCCAUCAUAGACCGCAAGAAACUAAGCUCCAAGGAGUACCUGUUUGGGGGACGGCAGAUGUCAGUAAUACCCGUCGCCUUGUCACUGCUGGUGACAUUUCUAUCUGCCAUUACGCUUCUGGGAACGCCGGCCGAGAUGUACAGAUACACGACAAUGUAUUGGUAUCUGUGUUUAUCGUUUGUAUUCGCGAUUGUGCUCUCAGUCGUACUAUUUGUCCCAUUCUUCUACAAACUGGGGAUAACAAGUGUCUUCCAGUAUCUGGAAAUGAGGUUCAACAAAAUUGUUCGGACAAUGGCGGUGAUACUCUUCAUGUUCCCAACUAUUAUAUACGUGUCGUUUGUAUUGUACGCCCCUAGCCUUGCAUUCAAUGCAGUGACAGGACUUGACCUUUGGGGUUCGGUCGUUGCUAUAGGUGCUAUAGCUACUAUUUACACAACACUAGGUGGCAUGAAGGCUGUGUUGUGGACUGACAGUUUCCAAGCGGUGGUGAUCCUUGCAGGCUUGCUGGCAGUGCUCAUCCAAGGUUCCAUGCUCAUGGGCGGCUUCAGUAACGCUUGGGAAAUUGCUGCUAACCGGUCUAGGAUCAACUUUCAUGAUUUUGACCCCGACCCUACAACUCGACACUCCUUCUGGUCUAUAGUGUUUGGUGGUGGUUUCGUCUGGCUGAGUCUCUAUGGCGCGAGCCAGGCCCAAAUCCAGAGAGCACUCUCCUGUCCGACCCCAAGGAAGGCUCAACUGGCUAUGUUGAUAAACUUGCCAGGACUUAUCUUCAUCGUCAGCCUGUGCUGCAUGAUCGGCAUCGUCAUGUUCGCCUUCUACGCCGACUGUUACCCGUUAAAAUUCAACAACCUCAUCUUCAGCUCAGAUCAGCUGCUGCCUCUGUUUGUCAUGGACACUCUCAGCCAGUUCCAAGGACUGCCCGGAGUCUUUGUCUCGUGCAUCUUCAGCGGAAGUCUGAGCACUCUGUCAUCCACCCUGAACGCUAUGGGCGCCGUCAUACCACAUGAUCUGAUCCAACCGUUUUGCUGUAAGAAACUGUCUGACAGGAGUAUGACCAUUCUCUCCAAGGUCACGGUGUUCGUUAUGGGUGGUGUGACAAUAGCUUGUUCAUAUGGCGUGGCUCAGUUGGGGAGCGUCCUUCAGGCAACGUAUGCUGUAACAAGCGUCCUGGAUGGGCCUGUGUUCGGAAUCUUUAUUUUGGGAAUGUUCUUUCCGUGGGCGAACUCUUGGUGGCAGAACCGAAUGGAACCAGUUGAGGGAGCACAACAUCCGACCCCGAGUUCCACCGAUACAUCCAAUCGUAGUUUCCUUUCACCAUCAGCGCUAGAUUGGUGCAGGCAUCAUCAGCAGCCGGUUGCCCAGCAAUCACUAGCAAACUAAUGACGUCUAGGGCCAUCAGCGUUAAGGUCGACCACCAGUGACAACUCCCUUCUCAGAAUCACAGAAUCUGUUCUGGCCCUAAAAUAGCCAGACGUCCGUUGUUAUCCCCAGAGCACAAGGCAGCACGAGUACCUCUGAGUCAAGCUGGGCGACACUGGAAUUUGACAUGAUGAGGGAGUAUCCACUGGUUGGACGAACCUCGAUUUCUUUUGUUCAUAUCUGAUGGCCGAGCUCAGUUUGGCGUCGGAACAAUACUGCAUAUGCUGAUGUGGGUUGCAUUUCACCCGACUGUAAACUUGACCUUGUGACGAACAGAAUGGAUAACGGUCAUGGAUCACUUACAUCCUAGAUAGGGUUGUUGUACCACAUUUCGAUGACCAUCCUCUUAACAGAAGGCCAGGACAACAAUGCUAGGCUACAUCGUUGGUGAUUUUCUUACGUCAAAAGCCAAUAGCAACUUAAGCUUGCGACAGGAGUCCCGAUCUCAGUCGCAUACAGCAUGUUUUUGACAUUAAUACGCCAGCCAGAUCCUGCGUAGUCACACCCUAGGCAAGGUGCCAUAGUUGGAUGUCUGACGUCUCUCGCGAUUAUGUUAUGGAUCUGCAUAGCGGCGUUCGUCAAUAGAGCAUUCAAUGCCAUUCCGUCUGCCGUGUCUGUUAUGG
rnacentral:misc_RNA from 1 species